UGGGGAAUAUUGGACAAUGGGCGGAAGCCUGAUCCAGCCAUGCCGCGUGUGUGAAGAAGGCCUUUUGGUUGUAAAGCACUUUAAGCGAGGAGGAGGCUACUAGUACUAAUACUACUGGAUAGUGGACGUUACUCGCAGAAUAAGCACCGGCUAACUCUGUGCCAGCAGCCGCGGUAAUACAGAGGGUGCGAGCGUUAAUCGGAUUUACUGGGCGUAAAGCGUGCGUAGGCGGCUUUUUAAGUCGGAUGUGAAAUCCCCGAGCUUAACUUGGGAAUUGCAUUCGAUACUGGGAAGCUAGAGUAUGGGAGAGGAUGGUAGAAUUCCAGGUGUAGCGGUGAAAUGCGUAGAGAUCUGGAGGAAUACCGAUGGCGAAGGCAGCCAUCUGGCCUAAUACUGACGCUGAGGUACGAAAGCAUGGGGAGCAAACA
rnacentral:rRNA from 1 species